rnacentral:rRNA from 1 species
UACAGAGGUCUCAAGCGUUUGUUCGGAUUCAUUGGGCGUAAAGGGUGCGUAGGCGGUCGUGACAAGUCACUUGUGAAAUCUCCGGGCUUAACUCGGAACGGUCAAGUGAUACUGUCGGACUAGAGUACAGAAGGGGCAACUGGAAUUCUCGGUGUAGCGGUGAAAUGCGUAGAUAUCGAGAGGAACACCUGCGGCGAAGGCGGGUUGCUGGGCUGAUACUGACGCUGGAGGCGCGAAAGCUAGGGGAGCGAACGGG